GGACUGUGACCACGCCCCCAAAUUCCACGCGAUCAUUGACAUCUUCAUCUCUCGGGUGUCAGCGAUCAUUUACACAGCGGGAAGGAGGAUAGCAAAGCAGAGGACAGACAAGCCAAAGUGGGGAUUUGUCCCGUACCGGUUACAACGUGUUGACGGGUUUUUCUGUGUCUUUAGCUCAGCCGGACCGUAUAAUCGCUCAUAGCAUCCCCUUUGUUCUCUGUGAAGUCUGCCAGAAGGGAUUGAACGUGGGUCCGUUUGAAAAAAUUGCCUUCAAUAACUGAAAAGUCGCUUGUAAGCAACCAGUCUAAUGGAAAUUUAGGAGGAAAUUUGCCCUUUUGUGCUUUAAUCAAAUUGUAAAGCAGUUACUCAACUCCUGACAUUUGCUGUUGUUAUUCUGCGACGAUGCUUUGUGAGGAAGGAAUAAUGACACGAUCAUCAAACAAACUCUAAAAGUGGCUCAUUCAAGGUUAGGUUAUCCGGGUCGGACACGGUUGCACCGUUUGAACAUUGUGAAGCACAAAGCGUUUUGCACCAGCGACAAGCGGUGCGUCAUCGGUGAUUCAUUCGGCAUGUGUGCCGAGCGGUUCCUCCCCCGGAGCUACUGCAACAAUUAGCAACAAAACACCAUCUCGCCAGAAGCAGACAUAUUUGUCAUUUGAGCACCGGCUCUCUGAUGAAUCUUAUUGUUUCAGUGAAAACGAAGCACCUGCGUCAGCAAGACAGAGCGACCAAAAUAAAAACGUUUUAGGCGCAAAGCCGGCGUAUUCGUAGAGAGAUCGUGGCGCAGAGGCAGCGAGAGGGAAGAGGCACCAGGCGUGUGCGGAGUGACUGUAGGUAUAUAAACCCACAGUGCUGAUUGUGUGUGUACGUGCCGUAUACUAUUGUGUAAUCCGGCCCUAAUCCCUGCCGGCGGCAUCCGGCAGCUGGAUAUUAAAGCCGUUUUAUUUACGGUUUCCCCUCCGAGUGUCACCCGGCUGUGAUGUCACCACCUGCCACAGCGACUGAACCUUGACCUCUCCGCCUAAAGAAAUAAAUAAAUGAAAGCAAUCAUUGGGGCAUUUGAGGGUCGCCCAUGUUUACUGGAGUCUUUUUUUUUUUACUGUUCUAAGCUGUCAAUCAUUCCUGCCUUUCAAGUGCUUGUUGCGAAUAACGCGGCUCACUCUGAGAGUGUGCGAGCGCGUCUCUUCAGCCAGUUUGCAUGACGAGCACCAUGAGAAAAAACAAAAAAAAACAUCCAGUUGCCCGGGGCAAUUAAUAAAUCAGAUCGCAGCGAUGGAUCUCUUGGAAGGCGCCGUUCCAUUAAUCGCCAUCGCCGUCCUCUUCCCGUGUCUCCGAUCUCGGCGAUGCCGUUCGCGGUUCCUAAUUAAAUUGUACUUUCUGUCGAUUGUGCUCAUUACUCAAAGCAAAACCAAUCAGCGGUCUGCAGCUGGGCCUCGCCGCGUGCAAAGACACGGGAGUAAACGCCGGUGGAGGGGCGCGACGUGGGUGGGUGGAGAGGUCUGCGUGUACGUCGCGGCGGCCCACCCGGGGGUUUAUUUCCGAUUCCUAUAUUUCCUUGUUGUCUCCUCAUGCUCAGCCUGGCAGAACGUUUGCUUCGUACCAAGAUCUGUCGCGUCGUCCCGCAAUCAAACCACCCGGAGGCUGAACUUCUCUGUAAUGUUUGUCCAGGGAACCUAAACCCAGCGAGCCGUCCUCUUAGGGGCCCCGCCGGGGCCGCUUGCUGGUAAGUGUCCUGUGCGAAGAACACAUGGACGAUAGUUGCUUUGAGACUAGUGGGGGCUUUCAGUCAGUUUCACCACACAUUUGAGAAUUCUCCUGUCAGGAUCUACGAUCCCCCCGAGUUGGUUGAUGAGAAGAAUCGCAGCACGUUGAUCAAUUAAAGUCAAAAAGUUAACAUUUAUUUAGAAGAGAAAAAGAUGACAUGAGCAAUUCUCCGCAGAUAUCUGGCUCUAACUAUUGCCCAUAGGCACGUAUCUCGGCGCUCGGCGUAAUGACGUCUCCGAGCAGUGAGAACGCUGAGUUUUUAUACACAUGUGAAGGACAUUCUCCGUGCCAGUUACGAGAAGCUGCAAAGCAGGUUGAGAUAAGAACCCAGGUGAAGCUGAGGGUAGCACACACACACACACAAGAUCCUCCUCAGUGGCCGGUGCCAAUCAUUAUUAAUUGACAUAAAGUAAAAACGUGGAUCCGGAACGAAAGCUCCGAAUAAGAUACGAACCAAGGCCAUGAACAGGAGUCCUUUGUUUUGAAGCUUCUACGAGAUCGAGUCGACCGUCCUCCCUUCUCAGUGCGCAGCUGCACAGCAACAUGUUGUAUCAUGCUGCUCCUUCAGGGUCAAAUACAGGACACUUGAGACACGGCCUUAGCACAAAACAACGUUAUAAUAUAUUUGACCACCACAUGCAUCUCACACUUGUUGUUGUAGCCGUUUGUAUUGUGGCUUUUUUGAGGAAAUUGUACCUUGUUGAUUGUGGUUGUUCCCGGUCUGCACCCUCUUGGUUAAAUGCACUUGUUGUAAGUCGUCCCGGAUAAAAGCGUCGGCUAAAUGAAAAAUGUAAAUGUGUUCGCCACGCGAUGGGGAGGGGGGGGGGGGGCUGAGAUAAAUAGUCACACUGAGGGAAGCGAUAAUGGACUUUUCUUGUCUGCACUGUGUCAGCGUCCUCAGACGAUGACAGACGCGCUGAUGUGUUUAACUGCUCGCGCUCAGACAGCGAGAGGAGACGAGAGACAGCGGGGACAGACCACGCGGGGGAGACGUGGACGGGGGGGGGGGAGAAAAAGAUGCUGACGCUCAUCAACUCCCUUCCACAUUGCCAUUGGCAACCAGACCUCCUGCGCUCUGACAGACGCAGGGUAAUAAAGACGGCUUCAGGUGAAAUCCGUGUGCCUCCCCCCCCCCCCCCUCUCUCUCAACUGUCACUCACCUAUCUGUUCCCGGAGAACUACCACUGGAGAAGUGAGUAUCGGUUUGGAACAUUUUAACUUGAGCGUUUUGUGGUGUUGAAGGAAACAGUUUUUUCUGCAGAUGGUUGGAGGUUUUCUGUUGGGGGUUAAAUUGUUUUAGAUAGAUGGAUAGAUUGAUACUUUAUUUGGGUGUCACAGCAGCAUGUACAGGGAAGAAAUCGGAAUUAAAAGAUACACAUUAUAUACAAUAUAAUAAGAUAAAAAAUAUUAAAUUAAAUGAACUAAACUAAAACCCAAGAAUAACCUUCAAGUGUUCGAGUGUCAUUGCACUGGGCAGGAAUGAUCUCCUGUAUCGCUCCUUGUGACAGCGGAGCUGAACGGGUCUGUUGGAGACCCUGGAGUUGGCGUUCCGUUAAUCUCACCUCCACCCUCCUCCUCCGUCCUAUUUGUGAAAAAGGAAAAACAAGAUGGCCGACAGUGGCUAACUCCUCAUUUACAGGUUCUCCUCGGUGUGUCUGAGGACUUUGGAGGUUUCAUUAACGAACACGGGCACCAACCACCAAACAUAAGUGACAAAACAUGUUUGCAAAAAGAUCAACUGGGUCCCUUUUCGAAACAAACGCUUUCAUCCGUCUCCUGUUGGGUCGAGUGCGAGAGAGGAAGGAGGGGAGAGAGCGCCUCGGCUGUCGGAUUCAUUGGCCACUUCAUCUUCUAACCGGUUUCCCCUCGCCGUGGCGUCCGUUUGUCACCGCCAACGCACCCCCAUGUCUCACUUUGCUGAGGAUGUGCGUGUGUGCGUGUGUGCGUGUGUGUGUGUGUGUGUGUGUGUGCGUGUGUGUGUGUAGCGAGCCUCGAGCAGGAGACACAGACAGAUGGGUCGACUCCCACUGGUCACAUGUGUUUGCUCUCCCUCAGAACGCUCUGCCAGGAGGUCCGGACCCGUGCGCCGCCGAGCGCAACGCGACCGCCGGGGGGUUUGCUGGUUUAAAACCCCCCCCGAGGCCGGCCGUUUCCUGGAAACGUGGACGAGGACGGCGGAGUGAUCGGGCCCGUCCGGCCCCUCCACAUCCGCUCGGUUUACCACACUGCAGCCCCGGCUCCUCCGCACAGCGGCCUACACGCGUCACUAACAUCUGCCUUUAACUCAAGGGCAAGGGCAACUUUGCCCCCCCCCGACUCCCCCGACAGUUUUAUUGUCUUUCCUUCUUCUGAGCCCCGCGGCGCUCGGUUCAACAUCUGCUGCCGUCUCGGGGAACGAGGCACACACACACACAGACACACACACACACACACGCACACACAAAUGAAAGGUCACAGACUAAGUUCUAAUAUUCAACACAGAUGAGCACUUUGAACAAUAAGGCGCUACUUGAAUUUGAGUGUAGAUACAGAUGUGUUCGAUCAGAUUCUCGGGAUAGAAAGUGAAGAGCUUUGCCAUGCGGGACGUGAAAACAGCUCUGACAGAGCGCGUCGCUCUGCAUCGGGACGCUUUGUGUCGCUGCGCUGACAAGUGUUAGAAAUUCUGUGAUGUUUCACAUCUUUGCGUCAUCUUCGGCGAAUGUUGUUUUGCAGUGUUAGAAUCGAGCCGCAGCGUCCAAGACAAACAAAAAAAAACCCCGCAGAGGCCCGACAAACCGGUUUCGACCGCUGGACAUCUCGCUGUGCGUGUGUGGACAGAAGGUGUGCUUUUCAUCGCGUUUCUCCCAGAUAUAAUUGUCUGCUGCCGCCCAGUUCGCCUUUUGGUUGCUCCGUUCAUCCCUGCAGGGAAUAGACGCCGGCGAUCGGACAAACACGCGCGUGGGUUUAGCCGGAAAACGAGCAGCGGAUUUCAUCGUUUUCUGGGACAGUUGUUUGCUUGUCCUCCCGCAGCUGUUGAAACCGGGAGGUGAGCGAAAGAGGAGGAACCCCCGGGCGGUUCGAGGUGGUCUCCAUGGCAACCGCUGAACCCGCUGCAGAGACGACGGCCAUGACGAGCUCCUCCGGCAGUCACAAACUCACGCGGGGAGCGGUGGCGGCGGCGGCGAGGACGAAACUCCCCCCUCAGACUGGAAAUCAAUGCAAACAUUCAGCUCACGGUUUCAGGACGUCUCAGCCUCCACUCGGCCCAAAUACACAAUGUUGUUUUCACAGUGUAACUGAUGCCCGUUGUGGACGCCUGCGCAGUGAGAGCUGUGUGUGUGUGUGCGUGUGUGUGUGUGUGUGUGUGUGUGUGCGUGUUCACAGAUGGUGCCGGCCAAUUAGAGAAGGAGAGAGGAAGGGGAGCCAUUAGUGCGCAAUUAGCUCUGAUUGCCUCAACAUUGUUUUUGUGGGCGGCGGCGGCGGCGCUCUGUGAAAUGACCAAAUGGCGCGCGGGCCUCCUGCUCUGGCCCCUCCCACCGCCGCCCGCAGCCAACGUGACGCACUGACGUCGUCGCGGUGCUUUUUCUUCCCACUUCUCACUCUGUCUCAGCCCCUCGCUUGGUCUCCGCCCGUUGCUCAAUAUUUUUGACUGAUGCGUUGUCUCCGCCCCCCCCGUAUCCCAAUGUGUCGACUUUUUCACUUAACUCUAUUUCAGCAAGCCCCCUCCUCCUCCCUCCUCCUCCCUCCUCCUCCCUCCUCCAGCUUCUAAUUACCAGCGUGACAAAUGCCUUGCUAGGGCUGUCGUAUAAAAGCGAUUUCCUUUCCUCGCCCUUUCUCUCUUCAGCGUUUCUUUUCAUGCAUAUCUUUCCUUCUUUUCAUUUGUAGAUGUCAGCACCGAGAACGCUGCCGAGCGCUUUUUCUGCAGCGUGACAUUGUUAAAAAGAAGAAAGACUCUUGCAGAACUUGGUGUGACCAAGCUGACCAGGGUGGUCAUAUCCAACACCCCUUUAAGGGGGGGCCACGGCGCGUUCGUGCACGUGUUUCGGCCCCCAAAAUCAACCAAAAACGUUUCUUUCGUCAAACUGAAUGAGGAUGAAACACAAAGAUUGCAUUGGUAAAGGUGUAAUUAUUGAUUCCCUGGUAGCUUCUUGAAGUCCAAACACAACCCAUCCGCCUCUGUGAACAAGCUGAAUGUGAAAACUGUUGAUUGGCGACAC
ensembl:lncRNA